rnacentral:tRNA from 1 species
GGCCCUAUCGUCUAGUGGUUUAGGACGCCGCCCUCUCACGGCGGUAACCGGGGUUCGAAUCCCCGUAGGGCUACCA